UUCUAUCUUUUUAUUUUACUUUUACUUUUAUUUUCUUUUUAUUUAUUAUAUGAUUUAAAAAACAAACCUUGCUACAUGUACUGCAUUAAAGGGUUAGUUCACCCAAAAAUUUAAAUUGACUUGUGUUUUACUCAUCCUCAAAGCAUCUUAGAUGUAUUUAAUUUUCUUCUUUCAGACGAUUCCAGUCAGAUUUAUAUAAAAAAUCGUCCUGGCUAUUCCAAGCUCUAUCACUGCAGUCAGCGGGUGUUGCAUUCAAACAGUCCACUAGUUGUCAAAUAAAGCGCGCGCAUCCAUAAUAAAUUGUGCUUCACACGGAUCCGAGUGGUUUUGUAAGAAAAAUAUCCAUAUUUCAAAUGUAAUAUACACUUUUCCAUCACUUCCGCCAACUGUCAUACGUGGAAGCCGUGCCGGCAGACAACGUAGCACAUCGGCCUUGUGUGAUUAGUGCCUAACGGAGAGAGAGAACAAAACAAAACGCCAAAAAUUCACCCCCUCACAGUUGUCAUGAAGGGUAGGUAAAAUUAGCAAUAUAGACCAAAAUAAUUUUUUGAACCAGGCUGUAAACGUUUUUUUCUGCUGUAUAGUUGGCCAUUUUAACAUGGGGAGUCUAUGGGACUGACUCCCUUUUGCAGCCAGCCUCAAGCGGCCAGUCGAUGAAUUGCAGUUUUAGUCACUUCCUUAUUGUCUUCACGAGAGAGAGGGAGGUUGCCGCUCAGUCGUGAACAAGAAACGUCAGACUAUACGUUACCCGACCAUUAAAAUCAUGCCGUCAUAAACAACGUGCGUGCUGUCAUCAAUAGUGCUAGACAAGACAGAAUCUGCUAUGAUCAUAAACAAACAAUGGCUAGCAAAAAAAUGGCUUGUUUUGCCCUGUCUUGUCAUCAGAAAAGCCCCAAAAAGAAAGAAAACCUGACAAUGGACACAUAUCUGGAUGGCCUGAAGAGGAUGGUAUGGACUGUCAAAGAGAACUGAGGUAAAUAUAUUUUAUUUGACCUUUUUUUCACUGUUUCGCGGUAGUCCCUCAUCAUAAAUGCAUGAGUAUCGUUGCCAUAGCUCCACGAACAUUUUCCUCCAUUGUAAAAUAACACCUAGCAGUACCGAUACCAUUGUCUCCCUUUCGUUUCGGCAUGUUUGAAAGCUUGUACAAAGGCACUUCUGUGCUCCUAUUGGCCAGUGUCAUAGCUGUGAUGGAACUGAGGAGCGUCUCGCUGCAGCCUGCGGUGGACAUCCAACCCGGCCCACAUCCAAGUGUGACGUCACAGACCACGCCCAUGUCAAAAUACGUCACAUUCUCAAUCAUUUUGAAACAGGAAGAAGCAUCGAUAAGAAGAUAAUUUGUAUUGUUUGCCAACCGCUAAAAAAAGAAGCUGUUGUUUGCCGUGUCGGAUUCUACACAUUUUCAGUCCAAGCCUGAUGCAGGGCAGUUCUCCCGGGUUAAGGGGUCCCUGCUGCAGUUUCACCAGUAAAGAAAAUUACUUGUUACAGUUCACUUGAAGGACCACAUAAGCCAUGCAGUGGUGCAUGGAGGAGCGCCAAGAGGACAUAAAGUGGAAGUUUGUAAGGGACAUUGGUCCAGCGUGGUACAGAGUCAUCGUAGGUUAUUCUGUGGGGAGGUGACAGGGCCUGCCGUUCUCCAGAUGGACAGUAAAAAUCAACAGAAUGCCAUCAAAGACUACCUGGAGGGAGAAUCGGAGGAUAUAUUGAAGCAAGGAAUCUCUCUGUGUAGUCUAUGUAUGUAUGUGUGUGUACUGCAUGUCAAGAACUGUUUAUCUGAUCAUUCAGCUGCUCAGACUUUAUAAUAUUUGGAGCAUACCUUUUGUUAAACAACCAGUCAAAAGUUUUUGAACAGUGAGAUUUUUUUAUGUUUUUAAAGAAAUAUCUUCUGCUCAUCAAGCCUGCAUUUAUUUAAUCCGAAGUACAGCAAAAACAGUCCAAUUUUAAAAUAUUUGUAUAAUAUUUUGCUUUUGUAAUAUAUUUUGCUAUUUAAAAUAACAAUUUUCUAUAUUUCUAUUAAAAUGAAAUUUAUUCCUGUGAUUUCAAAGGUGACUUACUCCAGUCACAUGAUCCUUCAUUCUAAUAUGCUGAUUUGAUGCUCAAAAAACAUUUUAUUAUUAUUAUGUUAAUACACUGAAGACUGGAGUAAUGAUGAAGAAAAUUCAGCUUUGAUCACAGGAAUAAACUGCAUUUUUAAAAUACAUUCAAAUAGAAAGCAGUUCUUUUAAAUUGUAAAAAUAUUUCACAUUACUGUUUUUGCUGUGUUUUUGGAUCAAAUAAAUCCUGGCUUGGUGAGCAGAAGAGACUUUAAAAAAUAAUAAAAAUCUUACUGUUCAAAAACUGGUGGUGUAUAUUAUUAUUAUUAUUAUUAUUAUUAUUUGUAAAAUUGUACAUGUAAUUAUUUUUGUAAAAUAAUAAAUAUAAAAAUACCCAAUGAAACAAUGGAUGCCUUUUUCAUUCAUCUUUAAGUAUGUGGAGGACCUGGACAUGUUUCAUAUCAAGUUGUGAUGAACAAGGCCUGCAGGUCAAUGUCCUGUUACUUAUAUAAUCUAUCAAUGCAAUCUUUAUUCAGC
ensembl:lncRNA